rnacentral:rRNA from 1 species
AACGAACGCUGGCGGCGCGCCUAAUACAUGCAAGUCGAGCGAGAAGGUGUAGCAAUGCACUUGUAAAGCGGCGAACGGGUGAGGAAUGCAUGGGUAACCUACCCUCGAGUGGGGAAUAACUAGCCGAAAGGUUAGCUAAUACCGCAUACGUUUCCGGAACUUCGGUUUCGGAAAGAAAGCAAUACCGUGGGUAUUGCGCUCCUGGAUGGGCUCAUGUCCUAUCAGCUUGUUGGUGAGGUAACGGCUCACCAAGGCUUCGACGGGUAGCUGGUCUGAGAGGACGAUCAGCCACACUGGCACUGCGACACGGGCCAGACUCCUACGGGAGGCAGCAGUAAGGAAUAUUGCGCAAU